rnacentral:rRNA from 1 species
CAAUUGAUAUUUCUAAGCGAACAACGACCGUCAAACUCCGUGCACGGGCCAACUGUAAUCCGGCGGGUCCUAGCGUUAAUCGGGAUUACUGGGCCUAUAGCGCGUGUAAGCCGUUAGUUAAACAAGAUGUGUAAUCCCGGGACUGAACCUGGUAAGUGCCUUUCGGACUGGCGAGCUUCAGUGUGUGGCAGGGUAGUGCAUUUUCAAGUGUAACGGCAAAAUGCUUGAAGGUUGGAAAGAACACCAGUGGCGAAGGCGACCGCCUGGACUGUUACUGACGCUGAGGUGCGAAAGCCUGGGGAGCACACAGGCUUAGAUACCCUGGUAGUCCACACCGUAUACUAUGUCUACUAGUUGCUGGUGUCUUUGUACCUUUGGUGACCCAGCUCACGCAUUAACUGAACCAAACGGAGAGUACGGCCCCGUGGUUAAAACUCACAGGAUUUGACGGCU